UACUACACACUUUUGCACCCACAAAGCUCUCACUCUGCAGAACACACGUCAUCCAUGCAGCUCACCGGAAACCGCUGAUCGCUAUCCCCUGGCGCCGCAGUAGCUACCGACUACCCUCCUUUCCCUUCACACGAUUUCUUCAUCUCAUCUUCCCUAACCUCCACUAAAGUUGGAUUCAAGAUGACACCUUCUGGACACACAACGACAUUGUCGAGCCCGGAAAGCAUAAUCGAGGAAUACCAGGCGUAUGCUCCCUGCCAGGGAGAUGACUUGGGAGAGUUCCUCUCCAUCUACUAUCAACUGUGGAGCGAAGCCCACAAACAUGGAGUAACGGGGUACGGUGGGAUCACACGCUUGAUCACCUUGCUGCCGGAUUAGUGGCGGGGAUGGGCAGUAGAUAUGGCACGAGACUUUAUUACCCGGCGGUACCCAUGGUACGACGUGGCGGGCGACUUGCCGCAAUUUCUGGGACAGAUCCACUACUACUACACCGUGUACGGUCAGGCUCCGCGAGGACCAUAUAUGCGACCAGGCGAUCUAGGUCGGGUACCGGAUAUGCGACUUGGCGAUCUAGGCCAGAUCGGUUGUUCCCAUUAGGGUUCCAGCCUGGUCGACAGCGGCAGGACAUAGGAUUGCGCGCUCCCCACCCGCGAGAGAGGAUACCAUCCCCACCGCGGAUCAUUCCGGGACAACGGACAGGGGAUGAGUUCGAGGCAGGGCCGUCUCACCCGUCUGUAGAGGAGUCCAUAGCCGGGGUAGUACCCAGAGGGAGCCAAGCGACAGCUAUAUAUCUAUAUCGAUAGCAGUUCCGAGGAGGAUGCUUAGGAGGACUCCGGUUAAAGUGGGGGAUUUCAACUCGUGUAGGUUACUGAAAUCUGCUCUAGGAGAGCAAUGUCAGCCUCUAUCAGUGCUCAUAUACAGUCGAGUUAAACUCUGCUCUUUGUCGCAGUGGCUUCCAAAUGAGCCAGAGGAUGCAUUCUAUCGAUGAGGUAUUUCCCUAGUCACCCUCCACAGCAGGGGCUGUUGUUGCAGGUUGUAGAAGCUUUUCCUCCGGUAUAUUUUGAUCUAUCCACAAGGUUGUGAUGUUUGCAAUCACCUCUCUUUGUUUCUUUGUGUUGAAAAUCAUGACAACCUUCUUUCAGCAGGAAAUCAAAGAAUUGCGGGAACCGGUAAAGGUCCAUGUUUCUAGACAGAGGCUAAAUAUAUUGUGAGUGAUCAAAGGCCUAAACUAUUGACAAGUAGAAGUGAACAGAGGCCUAAGUUAUGAUAUACCUUAAGGAGCUCAAAACAAGGAAUUUGUACCCUUCUUCAAUCAGUGCAACUUGUAUCACUACUCCAAAUGGAAAUGGAACUAUUUUCUGUUGUGCAGAUUUUACAAUUUUGAAUGCCAAGAAAACCGUUGUCAAAUUCGACCUUUUCAAACAUGCAAACGAACGGAUGCUCGAAGACGGUGGUGCUGAUAGAGGCGAGCAGUCUCGGAGAAACAAACUGCUGCAUUGGUAGAACAAGUGGAAAGCCUUUAGUCAACAAUUCCUACAAAUGAAAGGAAGCCAAGGAUAGAUUAAGCAAUGUAGACUCCAUGAAGUGUGUAAAACAAUUUUAUUUAAUUGAAUACAUUUCUGAAUUUCA